AUGCCCAUAUCAAGUUAUAACACCGUUUCUCGUACGAUCACAGAAGUUAAGCAGCAUCUACCCAUGUCAGUACCUAAAUGGGUGACCGCUUGGGAAUACCAGUUGCUGUAAG